GAUGAACGCUGGCGGCGUGCCUAAUACAUGCAAGUCGAGCGAACAGACGAGGAGCUUGCUCCUCUGACGUUAGCGGCGGACGGGUGAGUAACACGUGGAUAACCUACCUAUAAGACUGGGAUAACUUCGGGAAACCGGAGCUAAUACUGGAUAAUAUAUUGAACCGCAUGGUUCAAUAGUGAAAGACGGUUUUGCUGUCACUUAUAGAUGGAUCCGCGCCGCAUUAGCUAGUUGGUAAGGUAACGGCUUACCAAGGCAACGAUGCGUAGCCGACCUGAGAGGGUGAUCGGCCACACUGGAACUGAGACACGGUCCAGACUCCUACGGGAGGCAGCAGUAGGGAAUCUUCCGCAUUGGGCGAAAGCCUGACGGAGCAACGCCGCGUGAGUGAUGAAGGUCUUCGGAUCGUAAAACUCUGUUAUUAGGGAAGAACAAAUGUGUAAGUAACUAUGCACGUCUUGACGGUACCUAAUCAGAAAGCCACGGCUAACUACGUG
rnacentral:rRNA from 1 species